rnacentral:antisense_RNA from 1 species
AAUUAUGGUGAGACGUAGCGGGAGAGCCAAAAAGCUCGCCGGGUUUUUCGUGGCCGCUCUAUCAAUCCCGUUACGUCUCGCCACCCUG